AGGAUGAACGCUUAGCGGCAGGCUUAACACAUGCAAGUCGAGGGGCAGCACGUCUUCGGAUGGUGGCGACCGGCGCACGGGGUGCGUAACGCGUAUAGAACCUACCUUUUACAGGGGAAUAGCCCAGAGAAAUUUGGAUUAAUGCCCCAUAGUAUUAUUGAAUGGCAUCAUUUAAUAAUUAAACAUUUAUGGGUAAAAGAUGGCUAUGCGUUCUAUUAGCUAGUAGGUAAGGUAACGGCUUACCUAGGGCAACGAUAGAUAGGGGUCCUGAGAGGGAGAUCCCCCACACUGGUACCUGAGACACGGACCAGACUCCUACGGGAGGCAGCAGUGAGGAAUAUUGGACAAUGGGCGAGAGCCUGAUCCAGCCAUGCCGCGUGCAGGAAGACGGUCCUAUGGAUUGUAAACUGCUUUUAUACAGGAAGAAACACUCGGACGUGUCCGAGCUUGACGGUACUGUAUGAAUAAGCACCGGCUAACUCCGUG
rnacentral:rRNA from 1 species